UACGUAGGGUGCAAGCGUUAAUCGGAAUUACUGGGCGUAAAGCGUGCGCAGGCGGUCUGCAGACAAGACUGUGAAAUCCCCGGGCUUAACCUGGGAACUGCAUUUGUGACUGGCGGACUCGAGUAUGGCAGAGGGGGGUAGAAUUCCACGUGUAGCAGUGAAAUGCGUAGAGAUGUGGAGGAAUACCGAUGGCGAAGGCAGCCCCCUGG
rnacentral:rRNA from 1 species